rnacentral:rRNA from 1 species
CCUACCCUUGACAUGUCUGGAAUGCUUAAGAGAUAGGCAGUGCUCGCAAGAGAACCGGAACACAGGUGCUGCAUGGCUGACGUCAGCUCGUGUCGUGAGAUGUUGGGUUAAGUCCCGCAACGAGCGCAACCCUUGUCAUUAGUUGCUACGAAAGGGCACUCUAAUGAGACUGCCGGUGACAAACCGGAGGAAGGUGGGGAUGACGUCAAGNCCUCAUGGCCCUUAUGGGUAGGGCUUCACACGUCAUACAAUGGUCGGGACAGAGGGUCGCCAACCCGCGAGGGGGAGCCAAUCCCAGAAACCCGAUCGUAGUCCGGAUCGCAGUCGGCAACUCGACUGCGUGAAGUCGGAAUCGCUAGUAAUCGCGGAUCAGAAUGUCGCGGUGAAUACGUUCCCGGGUCUUGUACACACCGCCCGUCACACCAUGGGAGUGGGUUUUACCAGAAGUAGUUAGCCUAACCGCAAGGAGGGCGAUUACCACGGUAGNAUUCAUGACUGGGGUG